GUCCCUCACCCAGCUUGCAGCAUAAAGCCUAGACGCUUCCUUAAGCACAAGAUAGCGCUCCUUCAAAGAUAGUUUCCUGCGUUUUUUGAAGUGAGGAGGGUCCGGUAAAGAUGAAGGAAAAGCAAUCUCUUUCAGAUCAUAUCGAACAUAAUCAGAUACUUUCCUCCAAACUACCUUCAACUUCAUUCUGAAUCCAAUAGUGAAGCAGCUCCGCCAAAAAGAGAUUGGGGAAAGAUGGAUACUGGAGUCGGACCUUCG
rnacentral:misc_RNA from 1 species